UACGAAGGGGGCUAGCGUUGCUCGGAAUCACUGGGCGUAAAGGGUGCGUAGGCGGGUCUUUAAGUCAGGGGUGAAAUCCUGGAGCUCAACUCCAGAACUGCCUUUGAUACUGAAGAUCUUGAGUUCGGGAGAGGUGAGUGGAACUGCGAGUGUAGAGGUGAAAUGCGCAGAUAUCAGGAGGAACACCGGUGGCGAAGGCGGGUCUCUGGGCUGAAACUGACGCUCAUGCACGAAAGCGUGGGGAGCAAACAGG
rnacentral:rRNA from 1 species